UUGCUUACAGAUAAAGUUUUAGCUUAGCAUGAGGAGAUUGUGGCAUGGGAGCAAGGUCAGCAUGAGUUGAGCACCAAAGAGGAAAAUAAGGCUUCCUAGGGAGAAAUGGGAGUGUUUAAGAUGAGGGAGACAAGGUUUGCAGGAUGAUCUUGGCUAAAAAAGGGUAAAGGAAGGGCAUUACUUCUUCCGGCAGCUUGACAGACUCUGAAAAUAGUCUGUUAACAGAGAAGAAUGAAGAAGAAGAGUGAAUAGGGCUACUGGAUUUUUGCAAGUAAGAGAGGGAGCUUGCUCUCUCAGCCUGGGUUGGUUUUUGCUAGGUGGAGGGGACCACCUUUUAUAGCUGCGGGAAACCUUCAUUCCCCAAGAAACCCUAAUGGUUUCUUCCCCAACUUAGCAAGGUUUUCCUUCCCUUUUCCUUUCCUCUCUUGACUUUUCCUGUUUUAGUGAGAUUUUUCUCUAUCUAUUUGCACAAAAUCAGGGAUUUUGGAGCUCAAGGCCUCCUUUCCUGCGGCUGCUUCAGUAGAAGAUUUCUACUUCCAGCCAUUUUCUUCCUUUCUUUCUCACUCUUUCCUAUAACCAGUUUUGAUAGGGAAGGAGUUGGGAUGUGUAUGUUGGUUUGAAGAGUGUCUAUCUUCCUGGGAGCUUGCAUGUUAACAUCCC
rnacentral:lncRNA from 1 species